rnacentral:lncRNA from 1 species
AUGCUGAAUGACCUUACAGAAAGAGGCUGUGCCCUGGUGUGCUCACCCAGGGGAAAGAAAAACAGAAAGAAAAAAGCUGCAUUUCCCCACAUUUCCGUUUUUAUGACUGAGCUAGAAAGAGCCAAAACAGCAUGCUGGCACCCAGCCCAGUGGGCUGCCGGUGAGACACAGGGUAGCAACUGCAAGUGUGAGAAAGUUUCCUCCUCUCACAGCUUUUUGAGCUCUAAACACUCCCACUUUGGACAUUUAUCAACCCAACCGUCCCUUCUGGGGUUUCAGAUCCACUCACCUUGCCACACAAAGUACUUACUUGCAGCAAUUGGCUUUCAUCCACAUCCUGAGAAAAAGGCACACACCUUAGCUGUGUUUGAGCAGCACAUUUCUGAUAUCUGCAGCUAUAACCCAAGGAAUUACAAAGCCAACACAGCAAGGACAGCACAUCUCAGAGGCCAGUUAAGUCCCCCUAAAUCUCAGCUGCCCUAUGGCAAAUUUUCUUAUUGCCUUUUUUUUUUUUUUUUUACACCUUUGGUCCAGCUCAGUGAGAAGACAGCUACACAGGAACAGCCUUCACCAUACUCCAUGUCCCACCUCCCUCCCCAGGGAAAGGGAGCUUUUUGCCCUCCCUCUAUAUAUGCCCUGCAAAAUGUGGCUGGCCACGUGCUGAGCAUUAGAGGGAUGCUAACAUGGAACAAGGAGCACCUGCAGGCAGCCUGUGGGGAUGGGACCUGUUACGUUCACCUGGCAAAACAUUCAUUAGCUAUGAUCUUGCACUUAGUUGCCUUCGCAACACUAAAACUGUGUCCAGAAUCAGUGUCUGGGAGGCUUUCUCGCCAGUCAUCUUCUGGAUCACUCUUUGAUCACUCAGAGUUAAUGGAGGGGUGGACAAAACUACCAUUAUGCAUCCAACGUAACCACAAGUCCGUGCCCCUCCUCAGGGCUGGAUGCUGCUGGACACAUCUCCCCAGUACAUGGCGCACCCCAGUCUCCCUGCCUCUCACAAGUGCUCCUGCACCACUGGUUUGCAACAAAUGA